rnacentral:piRNA from 1 species
UCCCAGAGAACUGACUCUGAUAGCCUGUCU